rnacentral:rRNA from 1 species
CUACGGAGGAUGCGAGCGUUAUCCGGAUUUAUUGGGUUUAAAGGGAGCGUAGGCGGGAGCUUAAGUCAGCGGUUAAAUGGUGCGGCUCAACCGUGCCCUGCCGUUGAAACUGGGUUUCUUGAGAGUGCAAGAGGCGGAUGGAAUUCAUGGGGUAGCGGUGAAAUGCUUAGAUAUCAUGAAGAACUCCGAUUGCGAAGGCAGUCCGCUGGGGCACGUCUGACGCUGAUGCUCGAAGGUGCGGGAAUCAAACAGGAUUAGAUACCCUGGUAGUCCGCACGGUAAACGAUGAUUACCCGCUGUCGGCGGCAGACAGUCGGCGGCCAAGCGAAAGCGAUAAGUAAUCCACCUGGGGAGUACGCCGGCAACGGUGAAACUCAAAGGAAUUGACGGGG